rnacentral:rRNA from 1 species
UACGAGGGGGGCAAGCGUUGUUCGGAAUUAUUGGGCGUAAAGGGCGCGUAGGCGGCGCGGUAAGUCACCAGUGAAAUCUCCGGGCUCAACUCGGAGCCUGCUGGCGAAACUGCCGUGCUGGAGUAUGGGAGGGGUGCGUGGAAUUCCCGGUGUAGCGGUGAAAUGCGUAGAUAUCAGGAGGAACACCUGCGGUGUAGACAGCUUACUGGACCACGACUGACGCUGAGACACGAAAGCGUGGGUAGCAAACAGG